AUAUAAAUAUAUAUAUAAAUAUUAUAUAUAUGAGUUUCGUGCCCUACUCAUCUAAUCUACUUUAUCUUAGGUUGCCUCUAGGGUCUUCAUUUUUUAUUUUUAUUUUUUAUUUUUUAUUUUUUUUGGGUCUUCAUUUUUUAACAAACAUUCAUUAAAUACCAAUGUGUCCCAGGCCUUGCUCUUAGGACUAGGGGUUCAGAAGUCAGACCAAGGAGGUCACGUGUGAGUGGGGAGAGAGAGCAACAAGAAAAUGCAUGAUUGUGUCACGUUCCCACGAGGAAACUGGUAUGGCAUCCUGACUGCGGUAGUCCCAUGGUGAAGAAGCUGUACAAACUCUAGCUCGACACAGCACUGGCAUUCUGGAGCAGCGCUCUGGGAUGGCGGGGGACAAAGGCUGCAGGCACCUGGAAAGCCCAGGCCCCUGUCGUUUAACCCCUGUAGUGAGAUCUUCAGCAUAGCCACAUCUACACAUGAAACCUUCUCCUCAAUUGUGGGAGGCCCUCAUUGGACUAUUUUUGUUGCCUUUAGGGUUGUUAGCAUAACUCACUUUUAAUCGUGGUUGCAAGUGUACCUGCUGCUGUGAGUUGACUUCAUGGACACCUCUGUGGAAAGCAGACUUGCUAAGUCACCAUUGGGACAAGGGAACUCUGAAUCCUGAGGUGCAGAAUGAGGACAUCUCUGACAGUGUGGCAGGGCUGCAUAACAAGUGUCAGCAGUGCCACACUCUACCAGGGAGCACCCCACCUGAAGUACAACGUGGAGGAAAAGCUUCACAAGACUCUUGUAUAUGUAACUUCUUCAUAUGGAAAAAAAAAAUUCUGGUAGUCAGGACACACCAGAGAAUUCCAAUGUGUCUGACCUCCUCAGCUCGAAGGAAGCUUUCCCUUCCCCUGCUGGAGAUAGCUGGAUUUGUAGGACUUGGAUGAGAUAGAAGGAAUUACCUAUGCUAUUGGUUACCACUGUGGUUUGAGGAGAGGGUGAAUUGCACCCCACAUCUGAUGCAGCUGGGUAGUCAUGAAGCCUCAAAUUGCCUCCAGAUGAUGUUGGAAUCCUUUAUACUCAGCAAUUCACAAUUAAGAUUGAUCACUGGGUGUUAUUCUGUAUGUUGGCAAAUUGAACACCAAUAAAAAAUAAAUUUAUUAUUAAACAAUAAAAAGAUUUUUGUCUUUCCUCUUCCUUUGUCUUCGGCAUUUACCUCCAUUGUUCUAAGGAACUGCUCACAGCUUGGUCCACUCCAUGGGUGGGCUCUUCUGAAUUUCAGUCAUGGUGCCACUGUUUUCAGGGAAACCCAAUCUUAGAGGCCAGGCUGGCUCUGGAAGGGGUACCCCAGUCCUGGCAGGGAGGGGUCCUAGAGAUGAGGAUUUCACAGUGCACUUUCUUGUGUGUUUUUAGAAUUCCUUUCAUUUUCUAGGCCAGAGGAGGGGUGUACCAUCAUAUCAGUCUUUACCCCUUCCUCGGCUAAUUAGUGUUGAGUUCUCCCUAUCAGAAACGUCUGCAGAGCUGAGUUUGCAGGUUUUUUCCCCAUUGUGUAUCAUCACUGUUGCUCAUUUCCUCCUGCUAAUUUUUCUUCAUCUCGGUAAUUAGUUGUGUUUGCAGAGAAUGGUUUAGGGAUGUUGAGAUCAGAGAGAUGGCAUUUGUCUAUCUUCUGGAAAGACUGCCUUCCUGGUAGUUCAAAGAUGGGGAGGAAAAAACAUUGAGAAAUUUUGACCUUGGUUUCACAGAAUUCAGAUUUAACAUGGUUGUGUCACUUGUUUUUCUGAAUAAUAAAACCACCUAGCCAUCCCCUGCAUAUCUGCUUUUACAAGCUUCUUGCUUUGCUUAUAAAAUAAGAAAUCCUAUAAAUGUGCAAAUGAUGUUAUACUUGGGAAAUAAAUGGAUGUUCUAGACGUAUUCCGCUGGAGCAUACUUGUCAUGAGACUAACUUCUGGAAUAGGUUAAAAUACAACAGUCCUAGGUGGAUUGUGUUAUCAAUUUUUCAUAUAUUUAAAAUACUGCACUCAAAUGUCAUGCACCUUCCAAAUUAAUUAUUUGCUGCAUCCUAUGUUACCAAAGUGAGGAGUUUAGCCUGGGCCAAAGUUUUAACUUCUCAGCGCUUCAUCUGAUCUUUCACAAAGUAGAGUGAGGCUAGCCCAGUAUCUGAAUGGUAAAAUUAAAGAAUGAAAACUAGGGGUAGAAAGAAGGAGUAAGGA
rnacentral:lncRNA from 1 species